rnacentral:rRNA from 1 species
GUCCUUUAGUUAAAAAUAAUUUAAGGUCUAACCUGCCCAUUGAUUAAAUUAAAAGGCCGCAGUAAUUUGACUGUGCAAAGGUAGCAUAAUCAUUAGUUUUUUAAUUAAAAGCUUGUAUGAAUGGUUGGACGAGAUAAAAUCUGUCUCUUUAUAAAUAAUAGAAUUUAAUUUUUAAGUUAAAAAGCUUAAAUUUUAAUAAAAGACGAGAAGACCCUAUAGAUCUUUAUAUAAUUUUUUUUAGUAUUAAUAAAGAAGAUUUUAUUUAUUAAUAGAUUUUAUAUUUUAUUGGGGUAAUAAAAAGAUUAAAAAAAUUCUUUAAAAUUUAACAAAAAUUAUUGAUUAUAUGAUCCAUUAUUUAUGAUUAUAAGAUUAAGUUACCUUAGGGAUAACAGCGUAAUUUUUUUAGAGAGUUCUUAUCAAUAAAAAAGUUUGCGACCUCGAUGUUGGAUUAAAAGUAAUUCUGGGUGUAGAAGUUCAGAAUUUUGGUCUGUUCGACCAUUAAAUUUUU